GGACUACAGGGGUUUCUAAUCCUGUUUGCUCCCCACGCUUUCGCUCCUCAGCGUCGGUACCGGCCCAGAGAACCGCCUUCGCUACUGGUGUUCCUCCCGAUAUCUGCGCAUUUCACCGCUACACCGGGAAUUCCAUUCUCCUCUACCGGACCCUAGCCAUGACAGUAUCGACCGGCGUCCCAGGGUUGAGCCCUGGGUUUUCACGGCCGACUUGUCAAGCCGCCUACGAGCCCUUUACGCCCAAUAAUUCCGGACAACGCUCGCCCCCUACGUAUUACCGCGGCUGCUGGCACGUAGUUGGCCGGGGCUUCUUCUGGAGGUACCGUCAUUUUCUUCCCUCCUGAAAGGGGUUUACAACCCGAAGGCCUUCAUCCCCCACGCGGCGUCGCUGCGUCAGGCU
rnacentral:misc_RNA from 1 species